CUUUUGAACAAGCACUUGUUGAGUUUCUGAAGUGUUUCAGGUUGUUUGUGCAGUUUGUGACACUAAGCAGCCGAUAAGAAAACAACAGUUUCAUUGUGAUGAUUGCGGAAUCUGUAGGGUUGGUGGUCAAGAGAAUUAUUUCCACUGCGAGAAGUGUGGGUCAUGCUAUUCAGUUACACUGCGUGACAAUCA